UAGGGAAUCUUGCGCAAUGGGCGAAAGCCUGACGCAGCGAUGCCGCGUGAGCGAUGAAGGCCUUCGGGUUGUAAAGCUCUGUGGACGGAGACGAAUAAGCUGUAGUUAACACCUGCAGUGAUGACGGUAUCCAUUUAGCAAGCACCGGCUAACUCUGUGCCAGCAGCCGCGGUAAGACAGAGGGUGCAAACGUUGUUCGGAAUUACUGGGCGUAAAGCGCGUGUAGGCGGCACUAUAGGUCGGAUGUGAAAGCCCGCGGCUCAACCGUGGAAGUGCACCCGAAACCAUAGAGCUAGAGUCUCGGAGAGGAAGGUGGAAUGCUUGGUGUAGAGGUGAAAUUCGUAGAUAUC
rnacentral:rRNA from 1 species